AGGUGUGUGGUCUACACAUUUUUACUUUUGGAGUCUGCAGCUUAUAGAUCUUGGGUUCGUUAUAAUUGGCUAUAUGUGCUUAUGUGCAAUGAGUCUGUCAUAAGGUCUGUGCUGCACACAUUGUUUAGUUUUGGAGCGUUCAGCUUAUAGAUCCUUGGUGCUUCAAAUUGCUGUGCCUAUUGUUUAGUUUCAAGGUAUGGGGAUUGUGAAUCUUUGUUGCACUAGCCUUACUGGUGUGAUCCUGAAUGAGUUAGAAUCAUCAUUGCCCUCAUAGGCAGUGAGUAGUGGUCACUGGUCGCCUCUUUUCAGCCCGCUGGUAGAACGAUGGUCCCGUUUCGAAACAAAACAUAGUUCACCUUGAUGAAAGGUUGGCGUGCUUUGUCCAUUCUGGCUUUUGUGCCUCUCACACUACAUGUCCCUGUGCUGUAGCUGUUUAGAUGGAUGUUCCUGGUCCUUCUCGGCGGCGUUGCAGGGAACCUGUCCAUUCCAGUGGUAGGAAUGUACGCCCUAGGUGUCCCAUGACGAACUUGGUUCAGUCACGGCGCCGGCACCGUGAGGAGGUUGCUGCAGCCACUUUGGCUGCUCAUGCCGCUUGACCAGCUUGCUUUGGCUCUCCUGAAGAUCCUGCGCGAUGGGAUCAUCUAUGAGACCAAGCACGCCACCACUACAUACUGAGGAGGCCCACGUUCCGCCCACUGUAUAUACCUACCUACUGCUACUACCUCUGCCUUGCAGUCACCAAGACAACAAUGGCCUCACCAGCUAAUGAUGGUUUCUUUUGCAUGCUCUAGCACUCAGCACGGCUAAAUAUGGUAUAGCACUUACUUUUGACUGUUGCCUUUAUCAGAUAUCAGACCACAACAUGUGCAACAGUAUUCUUUUGGGUGUUCCACCGUAAGACACCACUUACAACACUCAUCCAAAAUAUGGUUUAGAGGAAAACUCUGCAUCCACUGCACACACAAAGUCCUGCAAACCAGCUCUGAAAUCUUGAAAAGGAUGGUGCAGCCAGGCAACUCACUCAAUUUCUCAGCUGAGGAUAACACUGACCAAAAAACUGCUAAACUCUCAUUGCUGGUUUGAACUUUGUGUGUGUUUAGUUGACCAAAAUAGAUAUUGCAACUGCACUUUGUGAUCUGUGUUGUCUGUAGUAGCACAUAUUGCAUCAACAUCGCAGCCGUGCCUGUUGGAUGUGCAUAGGAAUUUCUGAAUGAACCUGUGUUGCAAACACCAAACUCUAUGCUGCAUGUGAUCCUUCAUAUUGAACCUGAAUUAUAUAUGCGUGAGUAUGUAUUUCUUUUGGACUCUAAUGGCCAGCCGUGGUGUUGUUUA